UCAGGUCAGCUACGACACGAGCG
rnacentral:miRNA from 1 species